rnacentral:RNase_P_RNA from 1 species
AUGCUGAAGACAAUCGCUGGCUAAAAAUAGUUAGAGGAAAGUCCAUGCUCGCACAGCCUGUGAUGGCUGUAGUGUUUGUGCUAGAUGAAAAAAUAAAUCUAGGCAGGUGUAAAAACUUGACGGCUGAGAAAAAUCUAAGGGCAACUAAGAUGGCUCUCUUUAAAAGUGCCACAGAGACGAGCUUUUAGGGAAACUUAAAAGGUGGAACGGGUAAACCCCACAAGCGAGAAACCCAAAUUUGGUAGGGGAAUUCGUAGUUACGAAACGAAGUAUACUAUGGAACGUGUUAUGCGUAGAUAAAUGAUUGUCACUUUUUGUAUAAAAAAGAACAGAACAUGGCUUAUUCAG